GCUCGGGUGGUGGGCUCAGGAAUAUUCGGCUCAUAGACCGGAAGCUUCUCUGCAUGGAAGAAAAGAGGAGACAGAGCAAGCAACAACAGCGAAGGCUGCACAGAAGAGCAUAAAACCAGACCCACUGACUGAGCCACUCAGCGCAACAGUAAAUUCACGACGACCGUGGCACUGCAGCAAAUUCCUGGGACGCUUUGCGACAUGUGCUGCCUCUUCCGAGCAACCGACUGUCAGCACCCCGCGAGCCUGUUAAUGUACGGUUGCGGAAUUGUCUGUAAAAGCUCUCGGUAACAUUUAAAGACUGUAAAGCGUCGUAAAUACAAUCACUGGAAACCGCCUGCCAGUCCGCGAUUUAACUACAGAUGUGCCGAAGCCAGGAGGGAGCACGGGGCGCCGCGGUCUUCCAUUACCGCUGUUUUAAUUUAGAAACUCCCCCGACCGCUUCAACCGUAUGGAUUUCGCGAGCCGCAAUGAUCUCCUAGGUGACGUACAGUUUGCGCGAGUGCCAGGUUGUGGUUUACACCCCCUCCCCCCAGAUUGGACCAUGUGAGUACCAGGGCCAGAGGCAGGUGAAUAAACAGCCCUGUGUGUAACCGCGCAGAGAGGCGAUAAUGCUCGCGCGGUGGUGGCGAGUGAAGAAGGUGUGAUGUGCCUCGCACCUGUAACCGUGGAAACAGUGUUAACAGGAAAAAAACCCUUUAACGUCAAUUAAAUUAACAUCCAAGGCUUUUAGGGCAGUCAUUACAAACAGAUUAGAGCUCCAAGGCAAUGAUAAAGGACUACAUAACCAAGACUAAAGGAUAUACUGUAAUGCAAUUUGCACCAGAUUACAACCGAGCUUUGCAGGGUCAGCUUCCCGGUUUAGAAGAUUUAGAGUACCAAUAGGCUGGAACAUUUAAAGAUGUUUACUUUGAGUGUUACCCAGUGAACAUUCUGCGUAUCCACAUUUACAACACAUUUUAAAAAAUGAUUUUGUAUUGAAUUUGCUAUGAGCUGUAAACUACCCAUUUCCCUCGUACCUCAUCCAGGGAGUCAGGUCUUAGUUUUUGUGAGGCUUGAUUUCUUGAAUUGAUGUUGAAUUAAUUUGGCAGUGUAGCAUUCCAUGUAACUCAAAGGAUGUUAAGAGAGUAAGCUACUGUA